rnacentral:rRNA from 1 species
UACGUAGGGGGCGAGCGUUGUCCGGAAUCAUUGGGCGUAAAGGGCUCGUAGGCGGUUUGUCGCGUCGGGAGUGAAAACACUGGGCUUAACUCAGUGCUUGCUUCCGAUACGGGCAGACUAGAGGUAUGCAGGGGAGAACGGAAUUCCUGGUGUAGCGGUGAAAUGCGCAGAUAUCAGGAGGAACACCGGUGGCGAAGGCGGUUCUCUGGGCAUUACCUGACGCUGAGGAGCGAAAGUGUGGGGAGCGAACAGG